CGUGUCAGAGGCGCGUUUACA
rnacentral:miRNA from 12 species